rnacentral:rRNA from 1 species
CCUACGGGUGGCAGCAGUCGAGAAUCAUUCACAAUGGGGGAAACCCUGAUGGUGCGACGCCGCGUGGGGGAAUGAAGGUCUUCGGAUUGUAAACCCCUGUCAUGUGGGAGCAAAUUAAAAAGAUAGUACCACAAGAGGAAGAGACGGCUAACUCUGUGCCAGCAGCAGCGGUAAUACAGAGGUCUCAAGCGUUGUUCGGAAUCACUGGGCGUAAGGCGUGCGUAGGCUGUUUCGUAAGUCGUGUGUGAAAGGCGCGGGCUCAACCCGCGGACGGCACAUGAUAAUGCGAGACUAGAGUAAUGGAGGGGGAACCGGAAUUCUCGGUGUAGCAGUGAAAUGCGUAGAUAUCGAGAGGAACACUCGUGGCGAAGGCGGGUUCCUGGACAUUAACUGACGCUGAGGCACGAAGGUCAGGGGAGCGAAAGGGAUUAGAUACCCGAGUAGUC